CUGAAGUAGGAAAACCUGAAUUAUAAUUAAUGAAUUGCUAGAGGCUCAGUGUGGACAAGCCUGAGAGGUAAAAAGUUCACGAGGAUCCAGUCCUAGAGGGAUUGAGUUCUGGGGGGUAGGAUCCAGUCCUAGAUCCUGCAUGCUUUUGUGAGAUUUCCCUCCAGGAGCCUUACCAGGUUCUCAGUGAAUAUCAGAAGAAAAUCUCCACAGGCUUCCGGCAAGUCUUUGUUAUAGAAGCUGGAAUGAAUCAAGACACACUGCAACAAAAAUGAAGAAUAUUUCUGGUGGGCUUAUUAGUAGCCUGGACACAAUUGAGGAAAGAAUCUCUGCACUUGAAACUAUGAAAAAAGAUACUUCCAAAAUUGAAAAGCAAAAAGAAAAAAGGUAUACACAUACUGGGAGUGCCAGAGGACAGUAAUAGGAGAAGAAAGGAACAGAAGCAAUAUUGGAAGCAAUAAUGCCAGAGAAUGUCCUCCAAGUUCAUGUGAGAUACCAAACCACAGAUCCAAGAAGUUUGGAGAACAUCGAGCAGGAUGAUUUUCAGAAAGACUACACCUAGGUAUAUUAUUUUCAAGAUUAGAAAAUUAAAUGUACAGAAAAAAUACAUUGAAAGAAGCUAGAGGAGAAAGAAAAGAAAACUUACCUAUAGAGGAGCAAAAAUAGAAAUGACAUUCAACUUCUCAAACACCACACAGAUUUACAGACAAAGAAUAGAAGUCUUAAUAGCUCAAUGUGUUUGAACACAGCCUCACAUCAAUAAUUGGCUGGCCACUAAUCUGUGCUGACUCAUGCAUUACACCUAGCAAUCCAGACUUAAAAGUGAAAAUGAAAAAAAACAAUAGAUGCACUGUUGGCUGUAGGCUCUGGGAUAAGUAGACUUCACAGAAUUAAUCCAGGCAAACCAUUAAACAAAAAAGCAGAAAUAAUAAUAAUCCUGAAGAGAUGAAACAGAAUCUGAAACUGUUAUAUAAAAUGUCUACUUUUCAUUGAAAGUAUUCUAAGAUAUGCAAAGAAACUGAAAGGGUGAUGCAUACAAGAAAAAGUCAAUAGAAAAUGAUUCUAAAGGACUCAGAUAUUGAACUUAAAGACAAAGAUCUCAAAGCAACUAUUAUAAAUAUGACCAAAGAAUUAUUGGGAACCACAUUUAAAUAAAGAGAAGUGUGAUGACAAUGACUUGCCAAACAGAAAACACUAAUAAAAGAAUAGAAGUCCAAAAAUAACUGAAUAUGAAAUCUCUAAUUGAAAAAUAUAAUUACUAAAAUUAAAAAUCACUACAGGAUAACAUCAGAUUCAAUAUGCAAAAAAAACCUCAAUGUAGUUGAAGAUAAAUCAAUAUAAUAGAACAUAGAGAAAAAUUAUUAAAGAAAAAUAGAGACUUGAGUACGUGUGUGAUAUCAUCAAAUGUACUAACAUAAGCAUAAUGGGAGUUCCAGAACAAAAAGAAGAUAGAGGCGAAUAAUUAGAAUAAAUAUUUGGAGAAAUAAUAGCUGAAAACUUCCCAGACUUGAUGAAAACAUUAAUCUACAUAGCCAAGAAGCUCAACAAAUUCUCAGUAUGAAAAAUACAAAGAUAUUCACACCUAGCUAGAUAUAUGAUAAACUGCUGAAAACUAAAGACAAACAGAAAUAAAACUUUGAAAAUAGCCAAAUAAUAUAAUUAAUCACAAAAGUGUAACCACAAUUAUAUUGACAGCUGACUUCUCAUCAGAAACAAUAGUGGACAGAAGGCUGUAUGAUGGCACAAAGUGUUGAAAGAAAAAGAAAAACAAAAACUCUCAACCAUGAUUUUUACAUUUAGCAAAAUUAUUCUUCAAAACUGAAAGUGAAGAAAUUAUCAUACAAACAAGCAUGGGAAGAAUUUAUCGUUGGUAAACUUGCUUAUAGAAAUACUAAAGGGUGUACCAGAGAAAAAAGUAAAAUGAAACUAGAUGGUAAUGAAAAUCCACACAACGAAAUAAAGACCUAGUAAAGGUAACUAUGUAGGUAAAUGUAGAAAACCGUAAAAAAUAUAUUUUUCAGUUUUUUACUCUUAAAAUUUAAAAGAAAUGCAAAAAACAAUAAGUAUAAAUUUGAAUUUUAGCACCUAUAAAGAUGAAAUAUAUAUAAUAAUGAUACACAUAGACAGCUAUAUUAAAAAAAUCUCUAUAUUUUUCUGGUAUUAAGAAAGUAUUCAUUUGUGAUAGAUUAUGGUAAAAUAAAAUGCAUAUUUAAUCUUUAGAGCAAGCAAUAUAAAAAUUACUCAAAAAGUAGUUUUAAAAAACCCAAAGAAGGCUGGGCAUGGUAGCUCAUGCCUGUAACACCAGCACUUCGGGAUGCUGAGGCAGGAGGGUCACUUGACCCCAGGAGU
rnacentral:lncRNA from 1 species